rnacentral:rRNA from 1 species
GAUGAACGCUGGCGGCGUGCUUAACACAUGCAAGUCGAACGGAAAGGCUCCUGCUUGCAGGGGUACUCGAGUGGCGAACGGCUGAGUAACACGUGGGUGAUCUGCCCUGCACUUCGGGAUAAGCCUGGGAAACUGGGUCUAAUACCGGAUAGGACCACAUUUUGGAUGGUGUGGUGGAAAGUUUUUCGGUGUGGGAUGAGCUCGCGGCCUAUCAGCUUGUUGGUGGGGUAAUGGCCUACCAAGGCGUCGACGGGUAGCCGGCCUGAGAGGGUGUACGGCCACAUUGGGACUGAGAUACGGCCCAGACUCCUACGGGAGGCAGCAGUGGGGAAUAUUGCACAAUGGGCGCAAGCCUGAUGCAGCGACGCCGCGUGGGGGAUGACGGCCUUCGGGUUGUAAACUCCUUUCGCUAGGGACGAAGCGCAAGUGACGGUACCUGGAGAAGAAGCACCGGCUAACUACGUG